rnacentral:lncRNA from 1 species
AUGAGGGACGAUAACACACCAAGAACCCCCCCAGAUGUCAGUACCACCGCGCAUUUCCUACUCCUUCACCCCUUUUUCCAGUUUUACCCCCGGCACCAACCAACCCCGGCGCAGAACUACGCCUUUUUCCCCUCCUGGCCUUUCUCAGCCCCACACCACGCGGCACCAGGCACGCCUUCGCCGCCCUGCCGCUACAUUUUCCUCCUACAAGCGCUCGGGGAGGAGAGGAGCGGCGCGGGGCCGUGCUGCGGGCACAGCGCCUCACGCAGCGCCCCGGAGCGGCGCCCCCUGCCCCCCGUCCCCCUCACGCAGACAAAGCCGCGAGGGGCCGGAGCGCGGCCCCCGCCUCACGCACCCGCGGGGCCGGGCCGCGGCCGCCAUCUCCUACCUGCCGUGACGGGAGGCGGCCCGGCGCGUCCCCCCGCUACAGGCCGCGUCUCAUUGUGCCGCCGCCGCCGCCAUUUGCCCGCCGCCGCCGCGCUGCCCCCGGCUGUCAGGUUCCUCCAUUCACCUGGGCCCCCGCGCGGCCGCCUCCCCCUGCCUGCCCCCCCCCCCCUUCCUUACGCCGCCGGCCCUACGCAAACGGAGCACCUCCCCCGGCCCUCCCGCCCAUACCAACGGGGGCCGCCCAACGCCCGCGACGCAAGCCCGCUCCGAGAAUUCCGCCCUGCGCAGCUCGCACGCUCCCCAUCGCCGCGCUGUGAAAGGAGCCGCGCGAUUGGCGGCGGGAGGCGGGUAAAAGGUGAAAGGUUCACCGACCGGCCAAUCCGCUCGCGGGACACGGCAGCUGCCGGGGAGCCGCCGGGUGGUCCCGGCGCUCACGUGUGUGUGCCCUCCCCUCCCCCCGCCGGAGCGCCGCGAGGCUCUCGGACCCGGCUGCUCCGCCCCCCCCUCCCCGCUCCUGCCUUGCGCAUGCGCGCGGGCGGGGCUCGCGCGCGCGGGAGGCGGUGGCGCAGCGCUGAGGCGAAGGGCGGCAGCCGCCAUUUUGGCGGGGUUGGAGGCGGCUGGGGUCGCGCUGUGGUGUUGGGGUUGUAG